UUUGCUUCUCGGCUUUUUGGCUAAGAUCAAGUGUAGCAUCUGCUUUUAUCGGUUGAGCACAAAUAAGUACUUUUAAAUAAGUAUCAGUUCUUACUCCUAUAACUGUUGCUUGCUCACUCCAUCCAUCACAAAGUAUCCUUCAGGGGCCAGGUGGUGGCGCGCCAGGUUAAGCGCACACAUCACAGUGCAC
rnacentral:snRNA from 1 species